rnacentral:misc_RNA from 1 species
GAUGAAGAACGUAGCGAAAUGCGAUAAGUAAUGUGAAUUGCAGAAUUCAGUGAAUCAUCGAAUCUUUGAACGCACAUUGCGCCCGCCAGUAUUCUGGCGGGCAUGCCUGUUCGAGCGUCAUUACAACCCUCAGGCCCCCGGGCCUGGCGUUGGGGAUCGGCGGAAGCCCCCUGCGGGCACAACGCCGUCCCCCAAAUACAGUGGCGGUCCCGCCGCAGCUUCCAUUGCGUAGUAGCUAACACCUCGCAACUGGAGAGCGGCGCGGCCACGCCGUAAAACACCCAACUUCUGAAUGUUGACCUCGAAUCAGGUAGGAAUACCCGCUGAACUUAAGCAUAUCAAAAAGCGGAGGA